GGUUAAAGCUGGGGAAUAAUGGGGCCAGGCGCAGGGGAGACCAUGGGGGGGGGAAACCUCCCCUGGCACAGCGGGCACGGCGCGAAGCAAAGCUUGCACCCCUGGCCCAGUCCCCAGGGACACCGGGUGCUCCGGCACCAGCACCCUGCGCCAAGCCCCUGCACAGGGGCCGGGGGAGCAGCUCUUGCAGCGCCCCCGUUCCCUGCGCUGCGCCAGCUGCCAGCGGGGCUGGGGACAAGCUCAGCGCACGGGGGUCUGGCCGAGCCCUUCACCCCUGAGGGUCACCACCAUGGUGGGGCUGCGCUCUGCCUGUGGGCCGUGUGCUCUGCCAGCCACAGCAUUGCACAACUGGCAAAUAUUUCAUCAUGGAGGUGGUGAGGGGCUGUGCAGGGGAGCAGGGAGGUGGCAGCGGGUGGUCUGGCGCUGCAUGGGAGGACAGGGACUGUGGCACAGGGUGGUGGCUCAAGGCACAGGUGGAAGGCAGGGGAAGGAUGUUGUUUGCAAACACAGCCCAAAUCACAGCUGCGGAUUGUGUGUCCGAACAGGGAUGGACCAGGAGAAGCUGGGGGUGACCUGGGCACGGCAGCAAUCCUGUCCCCAUCCUGGAGCAGUGGCAAAGGGGGCUGGCCGGCUAUUUGCCCAUCGGAUCCUGCUCACUGGGGUGCUCCCUGCCUGCACCUCCCUGCCCACACUCCUACCACCCGGCCAGACCUGGGGGCACUUACGCAGCCACCAAAGCAACCCUGGGCAGCAGCGGGCUUGGGCAGAACCGGUAACAGAUCUUCUCUCCACAGGUGGCGAGCAGCGGGCGCCGGCACCGGCCCCACCGACCCUGCUCAGGGUGCUUCUCCGUCCUGAGCGAGGAGUCGCGGUCAGUGUCCUGGCGUGCCAGCGAGGAUGA
rnacentral:lncRNA from 1 species